UGUCGUUGUCGUUGCUGUUACUACUAUUAUUGCUGUUGGUGUUGUUCUUGCUAAUGUCAUUAUUGCUGUUGUUGGUGUUGUCACGAGUCAUGCUGGUGUUUGUGGUCUUGUUUUGGCCGUUGACUUUGUUGUUGAUGUUGUUGUGGAGGCGCAAUGACCCAGUGGUUAGGG